rnacentral:rRNA from 1 species
CCUACGGGAGGCAGCAGUAGGGAAUUUUCGUCCAUGGGCGCACGCCUGAACGAGCAAUGCCGCGUGAACGAGGAAGGUCUUCGGAUCGUACCGUUCUGUUGAAGGGGAAACAGAGCGGAGAGAGGAAAUGCUUUCUGAUUGAUAUUACCCUUCGAGGACGUCCCGGCAGACUACGUGCCAGCAGCCGCUGUACUACGUAGGUGGCGCGCGUUAUCCGGAAUGGUUGGGCGUAAGGGGUGCGUCGGCGGCCUGCUAAGUCUGGAGUGAAAGGUACCGGCUCAACCGGUACAGGCUCUGGAAACUGGCGGGCUAGAGGGCAGGAGAGGGCGGUGGAACUCCAUGGGUAGCGGUAAAAUGCGUAGAUAUAUGGAAGAACACCAGUGGCGAAGGCGGCCGCCUGGCCUGUUACUGACGCUGAGGCACGAAAGCGUGGGGAGAAAAUAGGAUUAGAUACCCUGGUAGUC